rnacentral:rRNA from 1 species
GGGGAAUAUUGCACAAUGGGCGAAAGCCUGAUGCAGCGACGCCGCGUGAGGGAUGACGGCCUUCGGGUUGUAAACCUCUUUCAGCACGGAAGAAGCGAAAGUGACGGUACGUGCAGAAGAAGCGCCGGCUAACUACGUGCCAGCAGCCGCGGUAAUACGUAGGGCGCAAGCGUUGUCCGGAAUUAUUGGGCGUAAAGAGCUCGUAGGCGGUUUGUCGCGUCCGCUGUGAAAGCCCGGGGCUUAACCCCGGGUGUGCAGUGGGUACGGGCAGACUUGAGUGCAGUAGGGGAGACUGGAAUUCCUGGUGUAGCGGUGAAAUGCGCAGAUAUCAGGAGGAACACCGAUGGCGAAGGCAGGUCUCUGGGCUGUUACUGACGCUGAGGAGCGAAAGCGUGGGGAGCGAAC